rnacentral:rRNA from 1 species
AUGUACAUGCCUACAUUGUUAAUGCAUCAGGUCCCAUCAUAAAUUCGUAGUUAAGCAUGUGUGGGAUAGAGUAGUACUAGGAUGGUGACCUCUAAGGAAUUCCUAGUGUUUUACAUU